ACAGUCUUUCAUUGUUUUUGGUUGAUUUGUUUUGUGGCACUUUUGCUGCCUGUUCUGAUCCGUUCUGAUUUGUUCUGACAUGUCAUGUUACUAUUUUCUUCAUCCUAGUCAGUCGUCUUCUAUUCUCGGGGUCAUGCUCCACUUUCGCAGGCGGAGGUGACUCUCACAUAUGGCAUCAGUCAGCUGCUUCACUUCACACCAAAGCCCACAAUCAUGUCGGAAAUUAGAGAAUUUUCUUAUCUAAAUAAAAGUUUGACUAGGACGUUUGUUCCUGCAUAAACUCUUAUUAAUAAGAGUAGCAGCUGUAGUUUCUACGUGAUGUUAUCUGCCUUCGUGUUCCUUCUCUCUCACUUAAUUCUACUUUCUUGGACGCAGUCUGUUUCUGAAAAAUGCUGUAAUUGAUAUGAUCGGUGGAUUAUUUUAUUUUGAAGCUUGUGACCAGAAGCGACGUGUGAGAUUUGGUCAAACUUGACGCUAAGUAGAAAUGUCCGACUUGUUUCCUGACGAGAUCAGCCCGGCUUCUCCUAAUAAACCAGAUCAGGCUUUACUCCAGGAGCAGCAGGACGGAUGUUCAUCAUCACUUUCCUCAUCACGUUGAUAUCUGACAACUGUCGUGCAGCGGGGCCAUUAGGCAGCGGAUGCGGCGGGCACUACAGGCUCAAUGGUCUCUCCCACCAUGAAGGCGGUGGUGGAUGCUGUGUGGGCAGUGUGGAGCAUCGGGGCCUCCAUCUAUGACUACAUCCACACCAGCGCCAUGGAGGAGCGCAUCCACGCCCUGGAGAACGUCAUCACCAUCCACCAGUGUGUGAUUGGGCUGCUGUCCGCCGGCGUGUUAGUACUUUUCACCUACAUUUUCUUUAAGAAACUGUGAGGACCAGUGAAGCGAUGGGCUGGGGUUGACAUGGGGGGAGGUGGAGCAACCAGAAUCAGUCCAAUGUGGUAAAGUUAAGGCAGAUAAAGAGGAAUUGUUACACUUUGGGUACACUACUAAGGCCUGUAAGCGCUGUGAUUGUGCUGUUAAUGGUGGGAUUAUUUGGUUUCCAUGGGGGGGACCUAACACAUACACAAAGGAUCAAGACAUGAAGUUACUUUGGGAGGUUUUAACACCACUGCAGUGCCAUCAUUUUUUCCUAAACCUGUUAGGAAAAAAAACCCUGAGGUCUUUUUCCUCUAUCAGCAAUGAGGGGCUACAGUGUCUGUUUUUAAAGGUUAAUAUAACCAGUUUUUUCCUGAUUUUAUGUGCCAAAUUGAAAAAUGUGAUUCAGUAUAUUAUUUGAAUAAAUUAGGUACCAAACGUAUUAAUUGCUCCCUCAAAUUUAAGGGUGAAAAAAAGCCGCUGAACUUCUGAAAAAAGCUUUUAAGCCAUUGUGAGAUGUCAUGACGAAUUGCAGGUUUUGCAGGCUCAACCUGUUGGGCAAAGUAUAUCUUGAACACGUUUGAGUAUUUUCUCAGGUUAGCUAUGCCAUACAAAAAGCACCCAGUGCAUUUGCAGGAAACAUCAGUUUGCCAGUUUGCAAUUAUUUUUCUUCUGGGAAACAGCUCAAGUAGCUCAGUAUUUUCAUACACCAGAACAUCUGCCAGCCCAAACAGAAACCACGUCACACGCUGUAGUAGCAGUAACUCCAAAACUUCAGCUUGAAUCAUUUUCUAAAGGGAUCAUUAUUGAAAACAUCAUCCAUCAGGACAACUUCUGCCUUAAUUCACAUUUUCAUGACUAGUUUUAAUUUUUGCACUAAUUUCUCUCAAAGUCUGGCUGAGAUAUCAGGAGACGCUAAUUUUGCUGAAACUACUGUCUAUGAAACAAUGACUGGGGAGUGUAAAGGUCUUUUAUAGCAGAAUGUCAUUUCUGUUCUCUAAUGAACAUCUCUGCCAGUGAUUGGAAGAGACCAUAAAGUAAUGUUCUACGUCCUUUACACUGUCCAUGACUAAGCAUUUUUCAUUUGAGCUUGAAUGUCAGAUGAGACGAAACACAUCCCAUAACCCCUUGUAAUACAUUUUUAUAGGUGUACGUGUGUGUUAUCUAUAUUAUUAGACUUUAAAAACAAGAAUCCACUUAUAUGCUUUUGCCAUUAACUUUAACUUUAAUACCUCAUGACUUACAUUAAUGUAGGUGCCAUUGCUGUAUAAAAUGCAACAAUUUGAAGUGUCCUUACAAACUGUAAAUAUAUUUAGGUGUUGAUGGCCAUUGAAACAUGUCAUAGAUGUGCUAUCAUGUAACACUACAGCUGCUUCUAAUUUAUGGUUUGUUUCCUAAACGCAAAAUUUUGCACCAUGAAGGGUGAGAAUGUAAAUGAGACGAUACUUGUUACUGAAUGGAAACAAGUAUCGUCUCAUUUACUUGUUACUGAAUAGAAACAAAAAGGAGUAGGUGGUCAGUGGGAGCUAUAAUUGUAUGAGUCCUGGGGUUGGGUGUAUAUCUCUGUUUAUGUGUUAUGCUGCUGUAGCCCUUUUCAGACAUUGGAUACACAACAUUGCUGGCUCUGUCAGUCCAUUAAAGUAGCGACAUAUUCAUGGCAGUGAUGGUACGUGCACAAUAUUUGCCAUACGCUCGAGAUUAGACAGACAGCACAUUGUAAUCUUGUGUGUGCCGAUUUGAUAAUGCGAUUACAUGCAACUGUGUGAGUGAUCCAUCUUUUAUUGCAACCUUUAUAGAAAAGUGACCAUUUAGACACACACACACAAAAAAAGAAGUUAUCAUCGGAUUAAUGCAGAUGAGUGCAUGUCUGAAAGGGGCUUAAGCCGGUUAGACCACGAACAGGGAACAACCCAAGAAUGAAAGACUGUUUUGUAUGUUAACAGCAUCAAAGCUCAUAUUCUUCAAAUAAUGAAUAAAUGGAAUUUAACAAAA